UUUCAUUUUCUUUGUUUAUUAAUAUGAUUAUAUCAAAUAACAUUUCAGCACUUUUUCUUAGAUUUAGCAAAUGGAUCAACAACUCAGGACCACGUUUUUUGUUUGUAUCACUCUCUCCUUCACAGCUUUAAGAGAAUCACAUCUACAAGUGAGAAAGACAAAUCGCAAAAAGGCCUAAAAGCACUAAAUCACAGACAUAUCGAUUGUUGGGUUGAAGACAGACAAUUUAUGGAUUCGGAGGCGGCAAGAGCGUCAAUGGUUUUGUUAGUCUGCUUAUUGAUUUUUGCAAAUCGUAAAUCAAACUCAAAGAAGUAUGAACAACAUAAAAUGGUUAAUAGCAUAUAUAUACAAAUAAAAAACCUAAAUCCGAUUCGAAAAAAAGAGAAUUGAAAGACAAAUUCACCGUCUUUAACCUCCAACCCACCCAAAUCCAUCUAUUAUACCAGUUUCGAAAAAGAUAAAGAGCAAAAGAAAAUUAGGGGAAGAAAAGAAAGGCAGCUAAUCAGUGGGGGAGAGGAAAUCAUCUCUGACUUUCAUUUCUUCCAAGGAGGUCAGUGGGGAUCGAUUGAUCCCAGAAAGCCCCCAAUCCAUUUGUGGGAUCGAUUGAUUCCUGCGAAACCAGUGGGAAUGAGAAAUAGAGGACACAAAAAUGAUGGUUGCAACGUCGUUUGCUUUUGUUCUCUUUCAUCGGAGGUGCAGAAGGAGUCUGGCACGCCGACGGCAGUGGGAGCGAGUUGGGGGAAACGAGAGUUCACUUGUUGAUGAAAGGAAGAAGAGUAAAUUACGCGAAUGGUCCCUGUGGUUUAGUGUAAAUUACACGCUUGGUCCCUAACUUAUUUUUCUAACUCGGACUGUCCUCAACUUUUAAUUAUGUAACCCGCCUAGUCCCUAUUCUCACAUUCCGUCAAUUGUUUCCGUUAGACACCCCACGUGCCUUGCACGUUGGGGGUAUAAAAGUCUUUUCACAUUUCCAACGAUCUUCAAAUACUAAUUUUUCAUCAGGAUCGAACCUAAUUUAGAGUUUCUUUCAAUCCUCCAUCGUUUGAAGCGGUUACACCUACGGAUGUUCAAAUCAAGGAUGGUUCAAUGCGAUUGUGGGCGUGCUGCUGUAAUUCGGACUUCAACUACUAACAAUAAUCCAGGAAGACCCUUUUACGCAUGUCCAAUUAAGGAACCACGUAAAGGAUUUAUUGCUUGGGUAGAUGAUGAUGAAAAGGAUCAUGGUGACAGAUUGACAAUCUCCUGGCUUGUGAGGUUGAACAAGAAGCUGAAAAAUGAAAAUCUUUUCUUGAAAAUAUGUUUAUUUAUUAGUUGGGUAUUGUUCUUGGUGAUACUUGUUUACAAGUUGUAAGGUGGGGAUGAUUUGUUAUUGUAAUGGUAAAGUCUUCUGUAAUGGUUAGGUUGUAGCAAUGUAUGUGAUGGUAUCAUUAUCUGUAAUGGUUAGGUUGUAGCAGUGAAUGUGAAGGUAUCCUUUUCUGUAAUGGUUAAGUUGUGUAUGUAUUGUAAUGCAGAUGGUUAAGAUUUUUAAGAUCAAUGAAA